GUGCGCAGCGGCAGCCUUCGCCGACAGCCCACUCAGGGGGCAAUGGGCAGGCCUCCAACCGCAGACUGUCAUGUAGUGGACUGGAGAGUAACCGUCCAAGAAGAACGUCCAUGUCCAUCCAGCCUGGCGUGACUCCAUCCUGGAUCAUAAUGCAGUGUCUGUGUAUGAUUAUGUGCAUGUGUACUUUGUUGAUGGUUAAUGUGCUGGGGGGCCUCUAGUGUGCGUGUGGUUGCGCUCGUUGGAUGCGCGUGCGAUGCGCGUGCUGGUGUGUGUGUGUGUGCGUGCGUGCGUGCGUGCUGUGUGUGUGUGUGUGCGUGCGUGCGUGCUUGUUGGGUGUGUGUGUGCGUGCGCGCUUGUUGGGUGUGUGCGGGGAUGUGUGCGAGUGCGGAGUGUCACCGGGACGGUGACCUUUUAAAGUGGGGGUGUAUGUAACCGGUGGUUAUCCUGAACUUUUAUUCUGACGGGGUAACGACGCUCCCCUUUUCCUUCCGGUGGGUAGCGUAUAUCAUUCCGGUGGUAACUAGCUAGCAAAGAGGCUAUGUUUUUGAUGCUGCAGAGUGUAGCGUGGGGUACACCGCUCUCUCUCUGGUUGAGCCAUCGUACAGGAAAGCCCUGUCCAUCGGCGGCUGGCGUGGCGUCGGCUGCUGUUCUGGGAUGGUGUGCUGAGCUGGGCAAACUCAAGUGUUACUCUAUCACAGUGUCGCUGGUGAUGUUCUUCCACUUUGUGUCCUGUGUGGUUGACUACUUGCAUGCCGCUUCGAGAGAACCAGAGGUAAUGCCGGCAUUUUCUGUAAGAGUUUCGACGCUUAGCACUUGACUUGUGUAGGGAGUUGUGUGGGGUGGGAGUGGGGGUGCUCCGCAGGUGUGAUGGCGGGACUGGCAGCGUGGUGCCUUUGAUAUCGCGCUGUGGUGUCGUGGUUGCACCUGUGGGAGCGCCCACAUUUCCACAAUACACAACUCCUGUUGAAUCGAGUUAUAAAUGCCGUGCCUAAUGGUAACUUUCUCGUUAAAUGUACAUAGGAGGAGAUGGUGCCUUCGACUACACUGAUGCAGUGUCACUAGAGAAGGGGGGCAUCACUGUUCUUUUCCCAACCUUUUGUUUUGUUUUGUCCUAUUGUGUGAGUGAUUAAUCCUGUGCAACCUUUUCAUUUUGACGUCCAAGACGAAGGGGCUUGUGUAAGUUUCACUCUAACAUCCGAGACGAAGGGGCUCGUGUAAGUUUCUACUUAGUAACCGCCAAGACGGAGCUUGUGUAUAUGAUUAGGGUAUGAACACUUAAGUAUUACUGGGAGACGUAUCUUAAAUCUCAGACUCCUUUUGGAACCUAUACUUGCUGUAGGGGGAGACCAAAGACGUGUGUCUAACAGGCUUGUGUGUGUGUGUGGUGACCAUUACAAAUCUUGCCCUUUUGGCAGUUUUUCUUUUUUACAAUUUGAUUUACUAACUUGUUUGCCGUGAUUUUUGUUAUUUGGUCUACCUCUCGUGCAACUAGCACAUUUGCACAAUUUUGUAGCCUAUAUUGAGAUGACGUGCCUAAGGAUACUGUUAAAGUUCAUAUUCUGAUUUGAUGUUUGACUGAGCCCGUGAGGCAUAUUUCCAGAUACAGAGACUCAUUACGAAAAGAAAGAAAAUAAAAAGAACUCUGAAUUGUAUGACAGUUGUAUCUCUUGUUAUUCAGUAACCUGUUGCGGGGAAAGUCAAAUCAAGUGUUUGAUGGUUGGGUUCUCUCACCCUAACAAAUGAGAGUGGCGUAGUCACUAAACAUCUUAAAAACAUCUAAAAAUAUAAAAA